CUUUGUUGUGAAGCUUUUCACAGGCAAAGACUUUUGUUGUGGGAUAUAGUGAAUGUCACUACAUUGCGUGGGAGCAUUUGGAGGUCAAAAGUUGAUGGGAUUCUGGCAUUCAUGUUUAAUGAAAGCUAGAAACAUUGAGGUGGGAAGCUUGUUUACCAAUACGUCAAGAAGAGGGCGAGUGAGCCAAAGUGCCUGGUAAAUGGAAAGAGAAUUCAAGGAGUAUGCAGCCUUGUUUUCCCCUAAUUUUUUUCUUCAUUGUUUGUAUGAUUGUAUCGAGGUAAUAACAUUGUUUUUAAGUUUUUAACAUGCUUGAAGUAUUGAAUGCCA